CCUGGUGGCUCAGAUGGUAAAGCAUCUGCCUGCAAUGCGGGAGACCCAGGUUCGAUUCCUGAGUCAGG
rnacentral:tRNA from 1 species